rnacentral:rRNA from 1 species
UAAGGGCGCACGGUGGAUGCCUUGGCACUAGAAGCCGAUGAAGGACGUUACUAACGACGAUAUGCUUUGGGGAGCUGUAAGUAAGCUUUGAUCCAGAGAUUUCCGAAUGGGGAAACCCAGCAUGAGUUAUGUCAUGUUAUCGAUAUGUGAAUACAUAGCAUAUCAGAAGGCACACCCGGAGAACUGAAACAUCUUAGUACCCGGAGGAAGAGAAAGAAAAUUCGAUUCCCUUAGUAGCGGCGAGCGAAACGGGAAGAGCCCAAACCAACAAGCUUGCUUGUUGGGGUUGUAGGACACUCUAUACGGAGUUACAAAGGACGACAUUAGACGAAUCAUCUGGAAAGAUGAAUCAAAGAAGGUAAUAAUCCUGUAGUCGAAAAUGUUGUCUCUCUUGAGUGGAUCCUGAGUACGACGGAGCACGUGAAAUUCCGUCGGAAUCUGGGAGGACCAUCUCCUAAGGCUAAAUACUCUCUAGUGACCGAUAGUGAACCAGUACCGUGAGGGAAAGGUGAAAAGCACCCCGGAAGGGGAGUGAAACAGAACCUGAAACCGUGUGCUUACAAGUAGUCAGAGCCCGUUAAUGGGUGAUGGCGUGCCUUUUGUAGAAUGAAUCGGCGAGUUACGAUUUGAUGCAAGGUUAAGCAGUAAAUGUGGAGCCGUAGCGAAAGCGAGUCUGAAUAGGGCGUUUAGUAUUUGGUCGUAGACCCGAAACCAGGUGAUCUACCCUUGGUCAGGUUGAAGUUCAGGUAACACUGAAUGGAGGACCGAACCGACUUACGUUGAAAAGUGAGCGGAUGAACUGAGGGUAGCGGAGAAAUUCCAAUCGAACCUGGAGAUAGCUGGUUCUCUCCGAAAUAGCUUUAGGGCUAGCCUCAAGUGAUGAUUAUUGGAGGUAGAGCACUGUUUGGACGAGGGGCCCCUCUCGGGUUACCGAAUUCAGACAAACUCCGAAUGCCAAUUAAUUUAACUUGGGAGUCAGAACAUGGGUGAUAAGGUCCGUGUUCGAAAGGGAAACAGCCCAGACCACCAGCUAAGGUCCCAAAAUAUAUGUUAAGUGGAAAAGGAUGUGGCGUUGCCCAGACAACUAGGAUGUUGGCUUAGAAGCAGCCAUCAUUUAAAGAGUGCGUAAUAGCUCACUAGUCGAGUGACACUGCGCCGAAAAUGUACCGGGGCUAAACAUAUUACCGAAGCUGUGGAUUGUCCUUUGGACAAUGGUAGGAGAGCGUUCUAAGGGCGUUGAAGCAUGAUCGUAAGGACAUGUGGAGCGCUUAGAAGUGAGAAUGCCGGUGUGAGUAGCGAAAGACGGGUGAGAAUCCCGUCCACCGAUUGACUAAGGUUUCCAGAGGAAGGCUCGUCCGCUCUGGGUUAGUCGGGUCCUAAGCUGAGGCCGACAGGCGUAGGCGAUGGAUAACAGGUUGAUAUUCCUGUACCACCUAUA